rnacentral:rRNA from 1 species
AUUGAACGCUGGCGGCAGGCCUAACACAUGCAAGUCGAGCGGAGCGGCGGACGGGUGAGUAAUGACUAGGAAUCUGCCUGGUAGUGGGGGAUAACGUCCGGAAACGGGCGCUAAUACAGCAUACUAUCAGAUGAGCCUAGGUCGGAUUAGCUAGUUGGUGGGGUAAAGGCCUACCAAGGCGACGAACCGUAACUGGUCUGCGUGGAUGAGCAGUCAAACUGGAACGGGAGAACGGUCCCGAAUCCUACGGGAGGCAGCAGUGGGGAAUAUUGGACAAUGGGGCAAAACCUGAUCCAGCCAUGCCGCGUGUGUGAAGAAGGUCUUCGGAUUGUAAAGCACUUUUUGUUGGGAAACGGUACCAACAGAAUAAGCACCGGCUAACUUCGUGCCAGCCGCCGCGGGAAUAC